rnacentral:rRNA from 1 species
UACGGGGGGAGCAAGCGUUGUUCGGAUUUACUGGGCGUAAAGGGCGCGUAGGCGGCCACCGCAAGUCAGUUGUGAAAUCUCCGAGCUUAACUCGGAAAGGUCAACUGAUACUGCGGGGCUAGAGUGCGGAAGGGGCAACUGGAAUUCUUGGUGUAGCGGUGAAAUGCGUAGAUAUCAAGAGGAACACCUGCGGCGAAGGCGGGUUGCUGGGCCGACACUGACGCUGAGGCGCGAAAGCGUGGGGAGCAAACAGG